UACGUAGGGUGCAAGCGUUAAUCGGAAUUACUGGGCGUAAAGCGUGCGCAGGCGGUUUUGUAAGACCGAUGUGAAAUCCCCGGGCUUAACCUGGGAACUGCAUUGGUGACUGCAAGGCUUGAGUGCGGCAGAGGAGACUGGAAUUCCUGGUGUAGCAGUGAAAUGCGUAGAUAUCAGGAGGAAUACCGAUGGCGAAGGCAGGUCUCUGGGCUGACACUGACGCUCAUGCACGAAAGCGUGGGGAGCAAACAGG
rnacentral:rRNA from 1 species